rnacentral:rRNA from 1 species
GCAGGCUGCAACUCGCCUGCGUCAAGUUGGAAUUGCUAGUAAUCGCGAGUCAGCAUAUCGCGGUGAAUACGUUCCCGGGUCUUGUACACACCGCCCGUCACACCAUGGGAGUUGGCAACACCCGAAGUCGAUGAGCUAACCUUUUAGGAGGCAGUCGCCUAAGGUGGGGUUGAUAACUGGGGUGAAGUCGUAACAAGGUACC